UAACAACACUUUAAUGCUCUCUUUAAUACUCUGUUGGACUGACAGCUGACUGGAUGCUACGGUGACUCACUAUCACCUUCAGAGGUACAAAGUGAUAUGACGAGACGGGAUGGACUGGGGCUAGAAAAGUGCUGGACGCGUUCCCAGAGUUACGGUAGGCUGAGGCUGUGAUGACUUCACCCCAAGACGACCUAAUUGUGGAACUGUCAUGACAUUACAGCUAACCCCCACCGCCUCAAAUGAAGGGACAGCAGCAGCACUCACAAUCAGCAGUAGAAUGCGGUGACUGUGUACGGUUGAAAGACGGCAGCAAAUCAAGAUGGAUGCCAAGAGGAAUGACAACACGCAUGCUUCGGAGACAGCUGUUAACCUUCCAGGUCUGAAUGAGAAGAAGGUGGGGGGCCGAGAACACGCUCUCGUCUCAGAGGAAACACCAAAACAGCGUAAUGGCUUACAUGUUGCUAAUAAUGCAGCAAACAUCGCAUGAUGAAGUGAUUUGGCGUGUUUCAUUCACUGCCACAUUACACACAGGCCAAAGUUAAGAACAUCUAUGUUAAGUAGCAGUCAACGGGGGGAAGCCCGGUUCGCUUUCUCCUGAGCUGCCCUCUUCCUCUGCCCCGCUUUACCCAACAAGUGCUUUGAUGUUAAAUAAAUCGAUAAAUAAUGAAUAGAUGUUGAGUAAAGCUGAUAGUUAUACAGUAGUCUGCUCGUGUGUUGAGAGUUAAAUAUGGGAAUAGAACAAAAAUCGCAUCCACAUCUGCCGUCUUUCGUAGCUUCUCAUAUUAUUCUUUUGUGAAAACGAUGGUAUUUCUAAUUUCCAUGAGCAAAAACAGUAAAUUCUUUAUCCCACUACAAUGAUAUAUUGUUAAAUGUGAAAUGGAAACAUAUAUAAAACAUCUACACGGUGCAGUUUUGUCUUUUUGCAUUCAUUCUUCUGCUUCUUUUAUUUCCCCCUGUCUUCUUAUCGGCCCCUUCAUCUGUGAUUACUCCCCCUUUGUUCUCGCUCACUCGUCUCCUUUUCCUUCCUUCCAUUCUUCCAUCCCCCUCUCUUUCUGUCCAUCUGUAUAUGUUGCUC